UUUUAUUCCAUUUUUACUAUCAAAUGUCACACAAUUAUUCCUACUCAGUAAUCUACGGAGCCUCUCUGGUGACAUGGUUAAAAAAAAUAAAUAAAUCGUUGGCACGAAUUAGGUACAACGUGCGCACGAAAUACUAAUUUGUGGCCACGAAGUAGGUAUAAUGUGCGCACGAAAUAGUACCUAAUACUAUUAAUAUCAUUCCUGGACAGCUGGGUAAGCAAAUCGAGCGCACCGUCUCUACAACCUGCAAUAAUCUGUGUACGGGGCUCCGCACCCUACGUGAUGUUCCUAAAGAGCUGCAGCCCUGCACACAUAUCAGGACACUUUUCAAGAACAGCUGAGAGGUGUAGGCUACUACUAAGCGAGAUGCACAAUGAGGGACGUCUGCAGAGACUGAGAAAGAGUCUCACCACAUCCUGACAUGAGGAAAAAGACUUUAUUGAAGACUACAAUGAGAAAAACUAUCAGACAGCAGACGGCUGCAUUCAAGAGAAGAAGACCAUCAAACAUCCACAUCAGCUGAUGGAGGUCCAAGAGUCUCACCAAACAACCAACCUACAGAGUGAAGACCUCGAAUCUGAUUGGACGGCCUCCUAUUCAGCCACAUGUGUGAACAAAUGCCUCUAAGUUGAUUUGUUUUCUAAAAUAAAUCUAGUUUGAGUCCUAAUCUAUGCCUGUGUGUUUGCUUCUUUACACCGCUGUUAACAGUUUAGGCUGUUAGAUUGUUCCAGAUAAGACAAGUACAAGAUCCUGCAGAGCCGUUCUACCACGAGCCUGACAGGAAGAACUCCAACAGCUACUGAAUGUUCCUGUGGUUCCCUCAAGGCUACAGGAGGAGCCCUACGAGGACGAGCCGGUCCACCUGAUGGAGGCCAGUCGCUGCGGUUCAAAGCCAACACCGACUACGUGGACUUCUACUGGACCACAUGGAGGCCUUCAAACCGGACCAACAAGUUCAGCGACUCCCCGACUCGUGGGUCUGAGGAUGCCGCCGAGCCUCGGUCCAGCCGGCCUCCUGUCUGUGGGUGUUUGAGUGCUGAGAGGUUUGUGGAUGCAUGUGAACGUUCUGUGUUGAAACAGCAGCUUUGGACUCAGUAACGCCGGGAAAAACCAAGAGCUCCUUUAUUUGUGACUUCCACUAAAAAACUGAUGAAAAUAAGUUUGUCAGGGUUCUGACUGAUAACAGAUUAUUAAAUAAUGAAAAUAAUCAUUUAAAUAUUCCUUUAAACAAUCCUUUUAGGUCUACAUUUCCUUUACACUGACUUCUUGGUAUAUGUACAAGUAUUUUGGGUGGAAUAUACCAUUAAGCCCAAUGUUCAAGGGUUCUUCUGGGAAUAUACCAUUAAACCAACCUUUUAGGUAAAUGUUCCAAGAUGUUGGGUAGAAUAUACCAUCAGAUCAACCUUUUAGGUCUACACUGGAAGAUUUUAGAGUAGAAUAUUACUCCAAACCAUCCUUUAGCUCUACAUUUAAGGUGGAAUACUCCUUUACACCAAGAUUUUUUGGUCUACAUUGAAGGAUUUUGGAUGGAAUAUUCCUUUGAACGAACUUUUUAGGUUUAUGUUCAAGGAUGUUGGGUGGAAUAUACCAUCAGAUCAACCUCCAAGGUCUACAGUAGUGAAUUUUAGGUGGAAUAUACCAUUAAACUCACCUUUUAGGUCUACAUUUUAGGAUUUUAGGUGGAAUUUUCUUCCAAACCGUCUUUUAGUCUACAUUUAAGGAUGUUUAGGAUGGUAUAUUCUUCCGAACCAAUUUCUCAGGUCUACGUUUCAGGUGGAAUAUUCCUCCAUACUAACUUUUUGGUCUACAUUGAAGGAUCUUUUCUAAACCACUCUUUCGGGUCUAUAUUUGAGGUUUUAGGUGGAAUAUUCCUUUUAACCAGCCCCUCAGGUCUCUGAGGAUUUUGGAUGGAAUACUCGGUUAAACCAACAUUUUGGAUACAUGUCCAAGGAUUUUUGGUGGAAUGUUCCUUUAAGGUGGAUGUUUGAGGACCUUGUAGGUGGAAAACUUCCUGAAACCAACCUUUUAGGUCAACAUUCAAAGAUUUAAGGUGGAGUAUUCCUUUAAACCAACCUAAAUUUCAUGUUUUGAUCAUUAUCAAGUGAGAAACCUCAAUCCAGACUCCUCAUAAUGACGUUUGAGAUUUAUGCUGCUGUUAUUUGUUUAGUCCAGACUAAAUGACAGAAAUCCACAACUGUAAUUUUAUUUCAGGACUCGGUUAUUAAAUGUCAAAACAAUCCAUGUGACUCUAAAAACUCAACAGCUUUACAAACUCUAAGAUUAAACUCUCCACAAGGAUCCAAAAUAAGCUGGACUUCUACAUGAGAGCUUUAAUUAUUCUUCAUCUACUUCCUGAAAAGUUUGGUCAAUAAAAAAGACAAAAACUAGUAUUUUCAGCUGAACUAAAGACAGACUUUGUGAUUUUUCUGCUCACAUGUUGUGUUGUUGUAAACUUCCUCUUUCAAAUAAAUACCCACCUAACCCCCUGGAAACCAGCAUUUGUCCUGUUUUUGUGUUGCUCCUCAGUGACCCUAGACAGCCGGGUCGUAAUGUAUUUUGAGCAACACACCAUACUAUGACGUUUUUACAAUGAUGGUUCUGCUAUGGAACCAGUUUGACAUGUUCAGGCGUUCUUUGUGUGAAAACUCGGAGAUUUCAGGUAUCAGAAGGUGGUUUUCAACUUUCUUUGUUAACUUUCUGC
ensembl:lncRNA